AUUCAUUUAGUAUAGUAAGUAUAUAAAGCUUCCAACUUUAAGGCUAAUUAAAUUUAAAUGAUUA
rnacentral:tRNA from 1 species